rfam:Colletotrichum chlorophyti strain NTL11 CCHL11_scaffold11, whole genome shotgun sequence.
GGUCUGGUGGUGUAGUUGGUUAUCACGUCAGUCUAACAGUUCGAAGCGGUUCAACUGAGCACACUGAAGGUCUCCGGUUCAAGUCCGGGCUAGAUCA